UUUUUUGUUUACUUGGAUUCAGAGACAAACAGCAAGCCCUGCUGUGCCAAUACAAGAGAAUAACCAAAGAGAAAAGAGCUCAAUGGGAAGAUCCCCUGAAAUUCCAUGGUUACCCAUCUCAAAACAUUCAAUCGUUGCAAUCGAAUCCAGAACUUUCAAAAUUGAUCAUUGCUUAACGACGCUAAAGACUAAUAAUUGAGUUUUGAUAUACUGCGAAUGAAUUUUUGCCUGGGGAAGACUCGAUCAAGAAGCCUGAGAUCCCCUAAAAUUUCAUAUCGAAAUCAACAUCUCUGAAGUGGGUUUUGCACGAAUCAGGUGGAAGGAGGAGGAAAAUUUAAUGGGAUGCGAGGAAGAGAAGAGAUGUAUCAAAAUAGAGAGAAAGAAAAUAGUGUAACUGAUUAGCAUAUUUAGUGACUUACGGCUAG
rnacentral:lncRNA from 1 species